UAAGUGUAAACUUAAGGACUGUCUUUUCUAAGCCUGUGCCUUGCCUUUCCUUUGGCACAGGCUUAGAAAAGACAGUCCUUAAGUUUACACUUC
rnacentral:miRNA from 2 species